rnacentral:lncRNA from 1 species
UCUCCCUCUCUACAGGCUGCCACGCUGGGUGAAGAACUCUAAGUACCUACUAGGCGGGGGUCGGGUUUUGCUUAGGCAAGAAAAGCGGAGAGGAUCCCCACGAAAAUUCUGAAACCGGGGGAUCUCGGCGCGCAUUUUACAUGACCUAAGCGGCUGGCUUGGCUCCCUCUUUUUUUUCUCUCUCCCUCUCUACCGGCUGCCAUGCUGGGUGAAGAACUCUAAGGACCUACUAGGCGGGAUCGGGUUUUGCUUAGGCAAGAAAAGCGGAGAGGAUCCCCACGAAAAUUCUGAAACCGGGGGAUCUCGGCGCGCAUUUUACUUGAUCUAAGCGGCUGGCUUGGCUCCCUCUUUUUUUUCUCUCUCCCUCUCUACAGGCUGCCACGCUGGGUGAAGAACUCUAAGUACCUACUAGGCGGGGGUCGGGUUUUGCUUAGGCAAGAAAAGCGGAGAGGAUCCCCACGAAAAUUCUGAAACCGGGGGAUCUCGCGCGCAUUUUACAUGACCUAAGCGGCUGGCUUGGCUCCCUCUUUUUUUUCUCUCUCCCACUCUACCGGCUGCCAUGCUGGGUGAAGAACUCUAAGGACCUACUAGGCGGGAUCGGGUUUUGCAUAGGCAAGAAAAGCGGAGAGGAUCCCCACGAAAAUUCUGAAACCGGGGGAUCUCGGCGCGCAUUUUACUUGACCUAAGCGGCUGGCUUGGCUCCCUCUUUUUUUCUCUCUCCUCUCUACGGCUGCCAUGCUGGGUGAAGAACUCUAAGGACCUACUAGGCGGGAUCGGGUUUUGCUUAGGCAAGAAAAGCGGAGAGGAUCCCCACGAAAAUUCUGAAACCGGGGGAUCUCGGCGCGCAUUUUACUUGAUCUAAGCGGCUGGCUCGGCUCCCUCAUUUUUUUCUCUCUACCUCUCUACAGGCUGCCACGCUGGGUGAAGAACUCUAAGUACCUACUAGGCGGGGGUCGAGUUUUGCUUAGGCAAGAAAAGCGGAGAGGAUCCCCACGAAAAUUCUGAAACCGGGGGAUCUCGGCGCGCAUUUUACAUGACCUAAGCGGCUGGCUUGGCUCCCUCAUUUUUUUCUCUCUCCCUCUCUACAGGCUGCCACGCUGGGUGAAGAACUCUAAGUACCUACUAGGCGGGGGUCGGGUUUUGCUUAGGCAAGAAAAGCGGAGAGGAUCCCCACGAAAAUUCUGAAACCGGGGGAUCUCGGCGCGCAUUUUACAUGACCUAAGCGGCUGGCUUGGCUCCCUCUUUUUUUUCUCUCUCCCUCUCUACCGCUGCCAUGCUGGGUGAAGAACUCUAAGGACCUACUAGGCGGGAUCGAGUUUUGCUUAGGCAAGAAAAGCGGAGAGGAUCCCCACGAAAAUUCUGAAACCGGGGGAUCUCGGCGCGCAUUUUACUUGAUCUAAGCGGCUGGCUUGGCUCCCUCUUUUUUUCUCUCUCCCUCUCUACAGGCUGCCAUGCUGGGUGAAGAACUCUAAGGACCUACUAGGCGGGGGUCGGGUUUUGCUUAGGCAAGAAAAGCGGAGAGGAUCCCCACGAAAAUUCUGAAACCGGGGGAUCUCGGCGCGCAUUUUACAUGACCUAAGCGGCUGGCUUGGCUCCCUCUUUUUUUUCUCUCUCCCACUCUACCGGCUGCCAUGCUGGGUGAAGAACUCUAAGGACCUACUAGGCGGGAUCGGGUUUUGCUUAGGCAAGAAAAGCGGAGAGGAUCCCCACGAAAAUUCUGAAACCGGGGGAUCUCGGCGCGCAUUUUACAUGACCUAAGCGGCUGGCUUGGCUCCCUCUUUUUUUUCUCUCUCCCUCUCUACCGGCUGCCAUGCUGGGUGAAGAACUCUAAGGACCUACUAGGCGGGAUCGGGUUUUGCUUAGGCAAGAAAAGCGGAGAGGAUCCCCACGAAAAUUCUGAAACCGGGGGAUCUCGGCGCGCAUUUU